GGCCCAAAUUUGAAGUAGAGUAGAUUAGUAGUAUUAGCUGACCCUACUAACCUACUGUAUUUCAAUUUUGAGCCC
rfam:Haemonchus placei strain MHpl1 genome assembly, scaffold: HPLM_scaffold0000012